UUUUUUUUUUUUUUUUUGAAGUGGCUUGUUUGUGUUGUCAUCCUGCACUUGGUUUUGUGAAUUGGAUUUUGACUCUUGGCUAGCUUGUUCAAACUCCCGGAAUAGAGAAAAUACCAAAUUGAGGGCCGACUUCUACUCUGUGUAUUAUCAGCAAUCAGGUUUGGUUAGGCAGAGCCAAAGAAGAAGGAAGAUUUACAGCAACUAGUAGGCAUUGUUCUGAAGCCGCGGAUUAAAACGCAUACACAGAGUCAUGCCAGUAAAGAGAGAAUAUCUGAGAGCAUUGGCAAUCAAAUAUCAGAGGGUAAAUUACAUACAAUCCCCAUGAAAUUUUGAAUAAUACCACAUUUCAAAAUAGUCAUGCAAUUCCAUCUAUAUAUAUGGCUAUAAGUGAUGUCCUGAAUCAAAAAAUGAUGGAGGAAACUGGACUGUGACGUGGGUUGGUAAGAGAAUCAGAUGCGUGAUAAUUGUUGAUUUCUUGCAAAAUCUUGUACAUUUGGUUACUUGAAAUAGGACAUUGAUAAACAUCAAAUGAAAACGCAAAGGUUAUUCAAACCUUUGCGGAAGAAUCAACUCCGGUGCAGCAGAAUCUCCGGCUUGUUAUCCCAAGGACACAACAGCCCACCUACACUUGUUGUCACUUUCAUUAGUCCAUACAACUAAGAGAGUAUAACUCCACUAACACUGGUCUUUCUUGUCGAUCUAUGAGAUAGAAAAUAACAAAGGAGUAGAUAUUUUUCUCUUAUGAAUUGUAGUUUAUAAAACAUAAGUUGUUGUAGCGCCUUUUCCUAUCUCAACUACACAUAUUUAUAGGUGAAGAAAAAUUAGUCAAACAUAACCUACACUAAUAAUAUGCUAAGUAACUGUUGAAAAUGAUUGGCUAUUCAAGACACAUUCUAAUUUGUAUUGUAGGUUAUAAAAUUUAUUGUAAUUGAAAAGCCAUAAUUUCAUAUAAUAAAUAUUUAGUAAAACAUCAUUCAAACACCAAUAAAUUUCAAAAACAUUUACCAAUUUAUUCUCCUUGUAACUUACACAUUGAAUUGAGAAUUUAACUAUUUUAUUAAAAUACUCCAACAGAAACUGUCAAUAUUUAAGAAUUCUUUUGAAGUAAUUAUUACUAAUAUAGUUUCCAUUUCUCGUGGAAUGUUCUGAAUCUCUCCUAAAGCAACAUUUUCCAAUUUGAGUGCCAGAAUUGUUGCAAACUUUUUUGGUUUGUGCGUCACUUUGCAUCUAAGAAUUCAAAAUUUCACCACCAAUUAAAUAGUUUCCCUUGCAACUUUAGUUUUCUUUUCUCUUCUAUUUCCAAUUUCUCCUAACUUAUAUUUCCUUGUUGCGGAUCUUGCCCAACUAUAUGAGAUAUGUCUUAUCGAUUCUUUGAUUCCUGGAACACAAGAAAUUUUUCAUUCCUAAUAUGUAUUCUUGUUUAAUUGUUUAAUUGAUUUUUAAAAGUUAUUAGUAAAAAAAUUAGAUCUAAUUUCGUGCAGUGCUCCUUUGACAAACUGAAUCGGAUGCUUUAGCGACGGAAGUCGCUUCGCAUCUUCAAUUCACCUUUCUUAAUGAGAUACUAAAUUCUUUGUUAAAUUUUGACUUUAAACAUCAAAAUAGAGUAAUUCUUUUGGUUUAAUGAUUAAAGUACUUCAAGAAUAAAAGGUCCUAGAUUCAAUUCUCCGAAUUUUUACUUCUCUUGUAUGAAAAUAAAGUAUGAACAUAAAAAUGAGCUAACCUAAUGUUUCAAAAAAAAAAAAAAAAAACAAGACAUCACCUAAAACUACAAAUGACCUUUGUAUACUCUUAAAACUUAUGCCUAUAAUUUCUUCUUGUUAAUUUGCAACCUCAAAGUUUUAUCUUUUUAAGUAUCUUUCCAUUUCAAAAAAUUGGAGAUCCCUGAUAUUUGUAGUUGUCUUGACCGAUUCAAUUUCUUACCUCCAUUUCAUAUUUAGUGUGCAUGCAUUCUAAUGGUGAGUUUAUACACGAUUUGUAUAGAAUACACCUAUGGCUGUCAAUCCGUCUUUGAGCUUGGGGUUGCUUGAUUAAUUUUAAAAAAAUCUUAGGUCGAAUGAACUCUAGCAAAGAAUGAUUUGAAAUAUCUAUUUGCAACCCUGUUAAAAAUUUAUCUUCAUACCUUUUGCAAGGUCAUUGAAAACACACAUUGAAGGUACUUGACGCUAACCUGUUUUUAAAUAAAAUCAUUAGGCAUUAGAAAGUAUAGAGGCAAGAAUUAUUAAAGCCAGAAAUUUAAGAGGUACUUUGAAGACAUCAAAAAUAUGGUUUGAUGGUACUUGAGGCAAACACUUUUUGUUAAAUAAAUCAUAAGCAUUAGAAAAUUAAGAGGCAAGAAUUAUUAAACAUAGAAAUAUUAAAAAUCUACCUAAUAUUCCUUUUAGGAUAAAUUUUGAAUACACAAAUAGUAUAUAUACAAGCGAGGCUGAAUACAUGCUACCUUUACUGUGGAAGAAAUAAGUACAUCAGCAAUUCUUUUUGUUCCUUUUUUGUUCCUUGGAUACUUUUUGCAGUGGAAGGUUUUUGCCCUGGGUGGAGGCAAAAAGGAACUAUUUUUUGCUUUAGUAGAAGUACGGCCGCAAACGAAUCGAGCUGCUCGAGAACGGCUCGAGUCGAGUUCGAGUUGGCUCGAGUCAAAAUCUAGCUCGAACUCGAGUUCAAAAUAUUAAGUUCGUUAGGCUCGCGAGCUCGAGUAUAUGUAUGUUAUAUUUAUUUAUUUUUUUAUUUUAAGUAUAUAUAUUAUAUUUUUUUAAUUUUAAUAGUAAAAUUACAUAUAUAUCCUUAUUAUUUUAUUAUUUAUUAAUAAAAAUAUUAUUUUAUUUAUUUUUUAAAAAAUAAAAUAAUUAUUUUUUAUUUUUUUCGAGCUUGAGCUCGAACUUGGCUCGAAUCAAGUCGAGUUAGAGCUCGAGCUUGAAAUUGUCAGCUCGUUGAGCUCGAGCUCGAUUUCAAGUUCAAUGAAAUUAAAUCAAGACUCGGCUCGAUUAAGCAAAAACUCGGCUCGACUCGGCUCGUUUACAGCCCUAAGCAGAAGCAACAAGACUUUGACAAACUUGUAUGCUUUUGCAACAAGGAAGAGGUUGCUACUUGAUCCGGGGCCUCACAAUUUAUGUUUUAUACAAUUUCGUACAAGUUGAUCUUUGGUGUAAAUUAGUCGGAUUUCAGUGUGAAUUAGAUCUAUUUUAAUAUAAAUCAGGUGCAGUUCAGUGUAUAUUAAUUUGUUAUUAUUUUGUAUAAAUCAGAGACACUUGGAUAUAAGUUGAUUAUUAUCAUUUAGUAUAAGUUAAGGUCAAUUUGAUGUAAACGGAGAGUAAAUGGUUAAUUUACAUCAAAUUAUACAUAAUGGAACUUGUGAGGCCUAUUUCCUGCAUAGGACUUGUGAGGCCUGUAAUUUUGGUAUCCAAAAUUUGACACGUGAACAGUUUUAAUUCCCAAACUUUGGACGAAAACAAAUCUAGUAUCCAAACUUUCAAUAUUUGAGCACAUUUAGUAGCCUUAGUGAAUUUUUUCCAAAUUGUUACUUGAAAAAGUCACGUGAUAGUCAUAUGUUCGACAAAAAUUAUAUAAAAAAAUGUCACAAAAAUGUAAAAUAUCUUUCUGACACUAAGAUGAAGAUGAAAUACAGCAAAAGAAGGAGAAAAGAAAUAAGAUGAGUAGAGUUGGGUAAGUGAUUAACGUUUUUAAAAUAUCUUGGUACUUAGUGCUAGAAGGAUAUUUUACAUUUCAUUGGUAUUAUUUUUAUGCAAUAGUUGUCGGACAUGCGAUUAUCGCGUGAUUUUUUCUGAUAGCAUUUUGGAAAAAAAUUGUCAAGGGUACUAAAUAUGCUCGAAUAUUAAAAAUUUGAGUAUAAGAUUUAUUAUUGUUCAAAAUUUGGGGAUUAAAACUGCUCAUGUGUUAAAAUUUGAGUACCAAAAUUAACAUUUUUCUCUACUUGUCGUUGCCCGGGCCUUCAUCUACUUUUGAUCCACAUGCUGGAGCCUUGGGUUGUGUGAAAUAUGACAAUCAAGGAUUUAAAAUACGACAAAACAAGAAAAAAGAAAGGGAAAAUAGCAAUCAUAAUUGCAACUCCGGCAACUAUUUUCUUUUUGAGUUAAAUACAAAAAACCUCCUUAUGAUUAAUCGAAUGUUCAAGUUAACUCCCUAUACUUUGGAAACAUACAUAAAAUCCCCUUAUGCUUUUGAUUAAAAUAAAGGGCAAAUUACACUUUACCCUCCUGUGGUAUAACUAAUUUUCACAUAACCCCUUGUAUUUUUAAAAGGUAUAUAUAACUUCUUUAUAGUUUGGACUACAUUGUCAAAGUGACGGAAAUAAUCAUUUAUAACGGAAUCUAUGAAAAUGUCAAAAUUACAAAAAUAUAGAAAUAUAAUAUGCAUGGCACUCUAACCCCAUAUGGUUUUAUAUUUUACCAUAUAACCCUCUUAUGAUUUAAUGUUUUAUCAUAUUACCCCAUUAUGGUUUUCAAUAUAUAUAUACAUAAUCCCCUGUGGUUAAUAAAUAAUUUUUAACUUUAGAUAGAGGUAUUUUUGAUAUUUUAGUUGUUUCCGUUAUGGAUUGUAAAUUCUGUCACUUUGAUAUUUUAAUUCAAAUCAUGAGAGAGUUAUGUAUAGAUUUUGACACCAUAGUGAGAUUAUAUAAGAAAACACUAAAUCACAAAGAGAGUAAAGUAUAAUUUGUCCUAAAUUAAAAUAUUAAUUUUUUUGUUAUAGUUAACAAUAAUAAAGGGUAAGUUGGUUAUUUGAUUAUAAGGCAAUUUAUAUUAUAUAAAAUGGGAAAAUAGAAAAUCUUUUUCUCUUCAUUCCAUCCAUAAGCCUUACAAUGUAUCUCUUUUUUAUAUUUUUUGGUUAAAACAUUGUAUCUCCUUUUCACCACUUGACCUUACCUUUUCUUUCUUUUUUUGGUAAAUUAUAUUUUAUCCCCCUGUGGUUUAGUACUUUUUCUACAUAACUCCCCUAUGGUUUCAAAAGCUAUACAUAACCUCCCAUAAUUUAGAUUAAAGUAUCAAAGUAACGAAAAUAGUCAUUCGUAACAAAACUUUUGAAAAUGUCAAAAUUACCCUUAUAAAUACAUGACACACUAACCCCGUAUGAUUUUUAUAUUUUACCAUAUAACCCCCUUAUAGUUUUCAAAAUAUAUACAUAAUUCUACUUGGUUAAUAAUUAAUUUUCAACUUUACAUAAGGGUAUUUUUGACAUUUUAGAUGACUCCAUUAUGAAUGAUUAUUUCCAUCAUUUUGAUACUUUAAUCCAAACCAUAAAAGGGUUAUGUAUAGUUUUUGAAACUAUAAGGGAGUUAUGUAAAAAGCACCAAAUCACAGGGGAUAAAUUGGAGUUUGCGUCUUCAAACCCAAAAUCUUAUGACCCAAAAUGAUGGCGUCUUCAAAAUUUCAGAAAUGGAUGGAGUGCUUGAUCUACUUCUUCAUUUGUGCAUAUAUGAUAUUUCUGUCCAUGGCUCCAGCCUAUUUAUGUCAAGUAAUUCCGUGCGGUGGCUGCUUGUGGUGCACAUGAGCGGUUAUCUGGAGAAGAUGACGUGAGAAAAGAUGAUCACAUCUGUGAUUUGGUAUUUUAUUACAUAACCCUUCUAUAGUUUAAAAAUUUAUAUAUAACCCCUUCAUAGUUUGGAUUAAAGUGUUACCAUCAUUUUUUUCCGUUAAAACUAACAGUCAAUAGCAAAAAUCAAAGUCAAACUAAUAAAUAGACAAAUUCACCUUUUCACUACAUUUUUUUCCUUUCUUUCUUUUUUUCUUCUCUUUUCUUUCUUUCUCUCUCUUUUUUUUUUUUUGGAAGAGAAGAGAUGAUUUAAAAGCUGUACUUUGGCUUAUAAAAUAUUAAUUUUCUCUGGAUACAAAAAAGGAAGAAAAAUGAAAAAUAAAUAAUUAAGAAAUAGAAAAGAUGGAAGGAAAGUGAAAAAAAUAAAUUAAUAAGAAACCAAAAAGAUGGAAGGGAAAUAUAAAACAAAUAAAUAAGAAACAAAAGAUACCAAAUCUUUAUUGACUGCAAAUAUCAUGAUAGGCUUUUAGACCAAAUCUUUUAUGGUAUUUUCUAUUUAUUAUUUAUCUAUUCUUUAUUUAAAUUACUUUUUUUUUGUAUUUGGAUGAAAAAAGGAAAAUAGUGAAAGAGUAAAUUUGUCAAUGUAUUAGUUUGAUUUUGAUUUUUUUUUAACUAUUGAUAGUUAGUUUUGAUGGAGAAACUAUCGGUGACCCAUUAAGUCACACCAUGAGGCGGUUAUAUAUAGGUAUAUUAAGUCAAACCAUGAGGGCAAAAGGUAAUUUAUCCUAAUUAUUAUUUUGUUUGCUUAAAAUCUUUGAGAAUUUGGGCAAAGUCCAGAGACCACAAAGUGAUAAUUUCCAUACUACUUAUCUGGCUGGUUGGUUCAGUAUGGAGGAAUAUGUGUACUGGAUGUCCACCUCAAUACUCAGACUUGGUCAUACACCAUGUAAUUGGCCACGAAUUGGACUCUUUUCUUUGCAUUUUAACUUGUGAAAGUUGUUCAAAUAUUCUCUCGUACUUUAGGAAGUCUUCUAAAGCAUCAAUGAUACUUGAAAGAAGGAAUUUAACAACUCAUAUCUUAGACCGUAUUCUUCUAUUAGCCUCCUAUCCCAUUUAUAAUUAGUUUUCACACUCAAUAUGUCUUGGUUAUGUUUCAUGUGCAAGAUUUAAGUGGUGAAAAUUUGAGGAGUUUGUUUAACCAAAGUACAAUAUGCUUUUCCCAGGGAAGCUGCUUGGCUUUUUACUGCAAAAUAAUUUCCCAGGUCAAUGCUGGGAUUCCCUUUUUUUUUUUUUUUUUAAGUGGCUUGUUUGUGUUGUCAUCCUGCACUUGGUUUUGUGAAUUGGAUUUUGACUCUUGGCUGGCUUGUUCAAACUUCCAAGUUUCUUAAACACAAGUACCUCCCGGAAUAGAGAAAAUACCAAAUUGAGGGCCGGCUUCUACUUUGUGUAUUAUCCGCAAUCAGGUUUGGUUAGGCAGAGCCAAAGAAGAAGUAAGAUUUACAGCAACUAGUAGGCGUUGUUCUGAAGCCGCGGAUUAAAACGCAUACACAGAGUCAUGCCAGUAAAGAGAGAGCAUUGGCAAUCAAAUAUCAGAGGGUGAAUUACACACAAUCCCCUUGUAGUUUUGAAUAAUACCACAUUUCAAAAUAUCUACAUAACUCCCCUGUGGUUUCAAAAGCUAUACAUAACCUCCCAUAAUUUAAAUUAAAGUAUCAAAGUAACGGAAAUAGUCAUUCGUAACAAAACUUUUGAAAAUGUCAAAAUUACCCUUAUAAAUACAUGACACACUAACCCCGUAUGAUUUUUAUAUUUUACCAUAUAACCCCCUUAUAGUUUUCAAAAUAUAUACAUAAUUCUACUUGGUUAAUAAUUAAUUUUCAACUUUACAUAAGGGUAUUUUUGACAUUUUAGAUGACUCCAUUAUGAAUGAUUAUUUCCAUCAUUUUAACACUUUAAUCCAAACCAUAAAAGGGUUAUGUAUAGUUUUUGAAACUAUAAGGGAGUUAUGUAAAAGCACCAAAUCACAAGGGAUAAAUUGGAGUUUGCGUCUUCAAACCCAAAAUCCCAAAAUGAUGGCGUCUUCAAAAUUUCAGAAAUGGAUGGAGUGCUUGAUCUACUUCUUCAUUUGUGCAUAUAUGAUAUUUCUGUCCAUGGCGCCAGCCUAUUUAUGUCAAGUAAUUCCGUGCGGUGGCUGCUUGCGGUGCACAUGAGCGGUUAUCUGGAGAAGAUGACGUGAGAAAAGAUGAUCACAUCUGUGAUUUGGUAUUUUAUUACAUAACCCUUCUAUAGUUUAAAAAUUUAUAUAUAACCCCUUCAUAGUUUGGAUUAAAGUGUUACCAUCAUUUUUUUCCGUUAAAACUAACAGUCAAUAGCAAAAAUCAAAGUCAAACUAAUAAAUAGACAAAUUCACCUUUUCACUACAUUUUUUUCCUUUCUUUCUUUUUUUCUUCUCUUUUCUUUCUUUCUCUCUCUUUUUUUUUUUUGGAAGAGAAGAGAUGAUUUAAAAGCUGUACUUUGGCUUAUAAAAUAUUAAUUUCUCUUGGAUACAAAAAAAGGAAGAAAAAUGAAAAAUAAAUAAUUAAGAAAUAGAAAAGAUGGAAGGAAAGUGAAAAAAAUAAAUUAAUAAGAAACCAAAAAGAUGGAAGGGAAAUAUAAACAAAUAAAUAAGAAACAAAGAUACCAAAUCUUUAUUGACUGCAAAUAUCAUGAUAGGCUUUUAGACCAAAUCUUUUAUGGUAUUUUCUAUUUAUUAUUUAUCUAUUCUUUAUUUAAAUUACUUUUUUUUUGUAUUUGGAUGAAAAAAGGAAAAUAGUGAAAGAGUAAAUUUGUCAAUGUAUUAGUUUGAUUUUGAUUUUUUUUUUAACUAUUGAUAGUUAGUUUUGAUGGAGAAACUAUCGGUGACCCAUUAAGUCACACCAUGAGGCGGUUAUAUAUAGGUAUAUUAAGUCAAACCAUGAGGGCAAAAGGUAAUUUAUCCUAAUUAUUAUUUUGUUUGCUUAAAAUCUUUGAGAAUUUGGUCAAAGUCCAGAGGCCACAAAGUGAUCAUUUCCAUACAACUUGUCUGGCUGGUUGGUUCAGUAUGGAGGAAUAUGUGUACUGGAUGUCCACCUCAAUACUCAGACUCGGUCAUACAUCAUGUAAUUGGCCACGAAUUGGAUUCUUUUCUUUGCAUUUUAACUUGUGAAAGUUGUUCAAAUAUUCUCUCGGUCUUUAGGAAGUCUUCUACAGCAUCAAUGAUACUUGAAAGAAGGAAUUUAACAACUCAUAUCUUAGACCGUACUCUUCUAUUAGCCUCCUAUCCCAUUUAUAAUUAGUUUUCACACUCAAUAUGUCUUGGUUAUGUUUCAUGUGCAAGAUUUAAGUGGUGAAAAUUUGAGGAGUUUGUUUAACCAAAGUACAAUAUGCUUUUCCCAGGGAAGCUGCUUGGCUUUUUACUGCAAAAAAUUUCCCAGGUCAAUGCUGGGAUUCCAUUUUUUUUUUUUUGAAGUGGCUUGUUUGUGUUGUCAUCCCGCACUUGGUUUUGUGAAUUGUUCAAACUUCCAAGUUUCUUAAACACAAGUACCUCCCGGAAUAGAGAAAAUACCAAAUUGAGGCCGAUUCUACUUUGUGUAUUAUCAGCAAUCAGGUUUGGUUAGGCAGAGCCAAAGAAGAAGGAAGAUUUACAGCAACUAGUAGGCAUUGUUCUGAAGCCGCGGAUUAAAAUGCAUACACAGAGUCAUGCCAGUAAAGAGAGAGCAUUGGCAAUCAAAUAUCAGGGGGUAAAUUACACACAAUCCCCCUGUAGUUUUGAAUAAUACCACCUUUCAAAAUAGUCAUGCAAAGCAAUAAGACGUUCAAUUCCAUCUAUAUAUAUAUGGCUAUAAGUGAUGUCCUGAAUCAAAAAAUGAUGGAGGAAACUGGACUGCGACGUGGGUUGGUAAGAGAAUCAGAUGCGUGAUAAUUGUUGAUUUCUUGCAAAAUCUUGUACAUUUGGUUACUUGAAACAGGACACUAAUAAACAUCAAAUGAAAACGCGAAUCCAACAAACAAGGCUUGAUAAGCUGUGAUUAAAAAUGCCAUAUCAACUAGAGUUUACUGAUACGAAUUCAAUCAGGAAGUUGAUGUCAGUUUCAUUAAAUUAACAGAGAGUGAGCAUGAAAAUAACAUUUAGCUCAGUAUAACGGAAUUCAACACGAAUAGCCAAAUAUACAACUUUCAAGAAGGAUGCAAGUUAUCUAGCAGGGUUCAGCUAAUCCACAUCUUUCUGCUGCAAAAGACUGGCUACUUUGAAGUACAAGCAGCACGGAAGAUAUGGCAAAUUGUGUUCCAAAAGAAGUAAAAGAGCACCUCAUUAACAUGUCUACAA
rnacentral:lncRNA from 1 species